GGCACUUCCUGCUGUUUGACGCAGUGAAUUGUGGGGAUUUCAGUUUGCACGUCCAGUUCGUACGGCGACUCGGAAGCACAAAAAAGGAAAGAGAUCCAGUUACUGCAUAAAGAGCUGGAGGUGUUGUCCUUUCAGCACAUCCAGAAAUGUCUGGAAAACUCACAGCUCAGGGUCAAGAGCUGCAGACUGAGAGAAAAGCCCUGGAUCAGUACCAAACCGAAAACCAGGAGCUAAAAAAGAAACAGGUAAAACAUUUGAAAAUUAAACUGCUGUAAAGAUUUUAUAGUUUGAGCUACUACCACUGUUGAUGAUUUUAUUAAUAAUAAUUCUUUAAUCUUUAUAUCACAGGCAAUUCUGAAGGCAGGUGAGGCACAAAUGCAGUGUCUGAGACAGGAGGCUGGUUCACUCAGGGAAGAGCUGAAGAUCGCUCUGAUGGUACCAAAUAAUCAAAAUCUCAACUCAAAAGUUAAAGAAUCAAAGAGGAACUUUGGAAAAUCGUUUUAAGAAGAAGAUGAAGAAGAUGAAGACGUGAUAUAAUAAUGAGACUGAUAAACCAAUGAAAAGUUAUCUUUUAUCUUCUGCUGCUGUCAACUUCUUUUAUUAACUUAUAAAGACUCAUUUUACGAUAUGUACUUUUAUAAGCAUCAGUGUCUUAGAUUUGGCAUCAGAUGACCACUGGGUGGAGUAAGAGAAUACUGACUUCUCCAGUCGACCAGUGCAUCGUCACAGCUCACUUUAAUAAGUUUAUCAUUGAGUACAUUAAAGGUAAACAAAACUUUGUAUAUUUUUUCUGAACAGAAAAGUCGACAAACAAUUACAAAUUUCACACGUGCAACAAUUUAAAUUUUAUCAGUGAAUCAGUUUUUUAAAAAUGUAAACACAGAGAAGUAUUUAGCAAUUUUGCUUUCAGAUAAAAUACAAGUUUAGACUCUUUUUUUCUCUUAUUGUGGAGUGUUUUCAUAUGUAUUUAUAUAUUUUCUAAAUGUUAUCUCUGGUUGUGUAUUUAAAUGCGGAUGAUGUAAACACUGCCGCUGCUCUAGUGUGAUGUUCGAACAGUAACAUCCGAAUGUGAUAAGGCCAACUUCUGUCAUAAAGAGAGGCUUCAAAUAUCCUUUUGAAUUUUCUAUGACAAAUACACUGCAAUACAUUCAGCUGUCACAUGAGGUGACUUUCAGCUUCUCUCAUGACAACCAUAACAACUUAUUCAGGUGUGAAUCCCCUGUAAAAUGAUAAAUGAAUGUUCCCAGUGUCCUCGCUCCCAAAUAGGAAUACUGCACCUCAUAAAAAUUCAACACCUUCUUUCACAACGUGUAACUCCGGCUGAGGUCAUCUGAGUUGACGCAACCCUCUAUGAGUGAUGCUAACAGGCUUGGACCCAUAGCCUCAACACGUCACAUGUCAUACUGUCUGGUUUUCAAGGAAAACAACUUGGCCAAACAACACAGACUCUUUCGCCCAAAAGUAUUGGGCGUGGAAACUACAUUUGGCUUAAUUCAAAGCCAAGUUCAACGCAGUGCUAUAAUGUAGCAGAAGCUAAGCCGUUUCCCCAGCCUGAAUUCAGCAAAGUAGUUUGACCCAUAUUUUUAGUUUUCCUCAUUCUGAAAGCUCAGCAGGUAUAAAAAUGUCAACACAAACUCAUGAUACAAACUGUUGAAUAACGUGUCAAUUGAUAAAUUUGGUUUUCCGAGGUCUGGCGUCUCUUCGCAAUGUUUUGUUUUGGGAUUUUUUUACACACAGAACUCUCCUGACACCUUGGUUUUAUUUUCUGCAUUCCUCUGUGUGUGUGUGUGUGUGUGUGUGUGAGAUGAAGCGCUUGUUUCCAUGUGCACCUGCAGCAUCGAGCUGCCCCAAUAAUGCGACCAGUCUUCAUGAGUGAUCAGUGGGCGAUGUGAAAACACCAGCGCACAGGUGCACCUGCUCAGGCUGUAAAAAUAAAUGGCCCAUUUAGUCAAGAAAAGAUCAAUUACACCAACCGGCUCGGGAGCUGCUCAGCCUGCUUCCCCAAUUAUACACUUCAGACUGGUUUGCACCAGAGCUGAAGGGACCACAACUGUGAUGAACUCUCCCGUCACGUGAAACUUCUGUCGUUGGGAUUUUUAAAUCACUGCUCAGUACUAAAUCAGAUGCCGUGGCGUGUGACCCACAUGCAACAUGUUUGCACGACCCACAGGUCAGGUGUUGAUGCAGCCUGUGUGUUCUCAGCUGAUAUCUGAAGUGAAUGUAAGCCUAAACUAAAUUUGGCUAACUCCUCUGUCUGCAUGAGAUCAUCAUUCACACAACUGACAUUAUGUUCUAAUUACUAAGAGGCUUGUGAAUGAGAAUACUAACUCUCAGCGAAGCAGUUUGUUGUAAUGUAACUGGUAAAAAUUAACACAAUUCCCCUGCAGACUUUCAAACUUACAGUCUGGUGACUACUGCUAUUCCAUAUUUUACAAUUAAAAAAUAUAAAUCUAGCAUUUUAUUGACAUCGUGGAAUUUAAUUAAAAUGAGUGAAAUGUAUACAAAAAUAAUCUGUCUGAAAAGAUCCAAAACAUGCAGAUUAAACUAAAAUGACAAGUGAACCAAAUAUAAUUACAAACUCAAUCAAACACAAAAUUUCAUCUUAGAUGAAAUAAAGGUAUUUCAAAAUAGCAUUGCCUUCAUGGAGUGUUGUAUACCGCAUUGCCUGGACAAACAGGUUAUACUGCAUAUUAAAAGAGAAAUUGAGCUUUAGUUCCCAAGCUACAGAGACACAGGGAGCAGGAGCAGGAGCAGCAGGAAGCUGCUGAGAGCGAAGGAAACAGACGGUUACACCUGCUACGCUCCUGAUCCUGGGUGUUCUGCCAGGAGCAGUUUCACUCAUGUCAGACUGAGCAGACUAAGUAAACAUCCUGUGCUGUGACACUACACGAUAUAAUACUUGAAAAUAAUCAAGAGAGAAUGUGUGCUGACGAUUUGAAAGCUGAUCAAACUGGUCAGAGUGGCUGGCUCUGACCUACUUCACACUGCUGCAUCAGGGUCUGUCCUUAGAUAACUCCCUGCAUACAGCACGGGUCGGACUGCGGGGGGCGCUUGACUAUCACACACCAUCUCUUAAGCAAAUACAAUUUAUCAUCAUUUAUCUUUCAGGUCAAGAGGGACGUUUU